CCUACGGGAGGCAGCAGUGAGGAAUAUUGGUCAAUGGGCGAAAGCCUGAACCAGCCAAGUCGCGUGAGGGAUGACGGUCCUCUGGAUUGUAAACCUCUUUUAUAAGGGAAUAAAGUGUUGGACGUGUCCGAUUUUGUAUGUACCAUCUGAAUAAGGAUCGGCUAACUCCGUGCCAGCAGCCGGGGUAAUACGGAGGAUCCGAGCGUUAUCCGGAUUUAUUGGGUUUAAAGGGUGCGUAGGUGGGUUUUUAAGGCAGAGGGGAAAGUCUGAGGCUCAACCGUAAAAUUGCAGUUGAAACUGGUAGUCUUGAGUAUAUUAGAGGCAGGCGGAAUGCGUGGUGUAGCGGUGAAAUGCUUAGAUAUCACGAAGAACCCCGAUGGCGAAGGCAGCCUGCUGGGCCUUGACUGACGCUGAGGCUCGAAAGUGUGGGGAGCAAACAGGAUUAGAUACCCCAGUAGUC
rnacentral:rRNA from 1 species